rnacentral:ncRNA from 1 species
UUGACUCGGGGUGCCUGCCGCAAAAGUGGCUUGGCUGAGAAAUACCCGUAUAACCUGAUCUGGAUAAUGCCAGCGUAGGGAAGUCA